GCGGAUGUGGCGGAAUUGGUAGACGCUCUAGACUUAGAAUCUAGUACCUAAUACAUAUGGUGUGAGGGUUCAAGUCCCUCCAUCCGCA
rnacentral:tRNA from 1 species